GGCUGUGUGAUGUAGUGGUUUGAGCAUAUGACUCUGAUUCUGGAGGCCAGGGUUUGAAUCCCUGCUCAGCUA